rnacentral:rRNA from 1 species
UACGGAGGGUGCAAGCGUUAUCCGGAUUCACUGGGUUUAAAGGGUGCGUAGGCGGGCAGGUAAGUCAGUGGUGAAAUCCCCGAGCUUAACUUGGGAACUGCCGUUGAUACUAUCUGUCUUGAAUACCGUGGAGGUGAGCGGAAUAUGUCACGUAGCGGUGAAAUGCUUAGAUAUGACAUAGAACACCAAUUGCGAAGGCAGCUCGCUACACGAAUAUUGACUCUGAGGCACGAAAGCGUGGGGAUCAAACAGG